GUUGAAAUACCGAUUCUUUUUUACGAUCACCGAAGUAAAGCACCGUUGAGCCUGGUCAGUACUUAGAUGGGUGACCGUGUGUUAAUACCAGGUGCU